rnacentral:rRNA from 1 species
GAUGAACGCUAGCGGCAGGCUUAACACAUGCAAGUCGAGGGGUAUAGUUCUUCGGAACUAGAGACCGGCGCACGGGUGCGUAACGCGUAUGCAAUCUACCUUUUACAGAGGGAUAGCCCAGAGAAAUUUGGAUUAAUACCUCAUAGUAUGUGAGAAUCGCAUGGUUUUCACAUUAAAGUUCCAACGGUAAAAGAUGAGCAUGCGUCCCAUUAGCUAGAUGGUAAGGUAACGGCUUACCAUGGCGACGAUGGGUAGGGGUCCUGAGAGGGAGAUCCCCCACACUGGUACUGAGACACGGACCAGACUCCUACGGGAGGCAGCAGUGAGGAAUAUUGGACAAUGGGCGCAAGCCUGAUCCAGCCAUGCCGCGUGCAGGAUGACGGUCCUAUGGAUUGUAAACUGCUUUUGUACAGGAAGAAACCCUUCUUUGCGAAGAAGAUUGACGGUACUGUAAGAAUAAGGAUCGGCUAACUCCGUGCCAGCAGCCGAC